GCCGAGGUAGCUCAGUGGUAGAGCGCAUGCCUGAAGAGCAUGGCGUCGGCAGUCCGAUUCUGCCCCUCGGCACCA
rnacentral:tRNA from 1 species